rfam:Clostridiales bacterium 41_12_two_minus Ley3_66761_scaffold_2788, whole genome shotgun sequence.
GCUUCCGUGGCUCAGUUGGUAGAGCGAUUGAUUCGUAAUCAAUAGAUCACGGGUUCGAGUCCCGUCGGGAGCU